AUUUUUUAAAAUAUGAUGCACAAUAUGACAAGACCAGAGGGUCUGAGUGAUACGAUCACAAUUAGCCUGAGGGCUUCUAUGCAAGUAGUACUAAAGCUGAUGUCCUUAUUUGGCAAUAGAAAAAAAAUGCAAAUUGUUAAAUGGCCGAAGAGAUAAGGUUCUCCGGUGAUUCUCGCUACGGCCAAGAAUCCAUCGAUUGAGUUAGCUUUGGCUGUACAGAGUCAUAGCACAUCUCCUCGUGAGGAAUUAGGAGGUAAGAUGGCGUCGCCAAUCUAAGGUCGUCCGCGCCUGGGCAGCAUCUCCACGCCGUGGGACGGAUGUUGGCCGCCGCCACCGCCGGCCGCCGCGCCAUCGCGCCGCAUCAGGAGAAGCGGCGUCGGAGCCGAAGGCCGCCGCCGUGCCAAGGUGUGGCGGAGAGAACUGCGCUCCGCAUGCACGUUGGCCGUCUCUGUUGCCGGGCUGCGUGGCGGGCCGUGGUGCUCCUCCGGAGGGAGGAGCGUUGCUGCCGGGAUGUGGUCGUCGCCGCUGUAGACGGCCGUGCCGAUGGAGGCCGCGGUGUAGCCUCAACCAUCCGCAUCCAGGGGGAAAAGGGAGGAGGAGAGUGGACAGGCGGCCGCCGCUUAGACCUUCCUCCGUCCGGAAUCGAGUCCGCUGAUCCGCGGCCGAUCUCAUUUAAGAGGCAAGAACAUCACAAAUUGAAGAAAUCACAUGGAUGCUUACAGUUAUUGGUAUGGAUUUUCGAUCGAGUGAUCCUGGAUGCCAACGCCCAUAUCCUUUUCUAGUGUGUUCGAGGCUUCCAAUUGUUGAAUCGAUGGAGGCUGGCGCUGCGUUCUUCCAUCAGUUCUUCUUUCUUUGUAGUUCACGAUUGAUCAAUUCUUCGUGAGAUUCGUGUGAGCGCAUAUACAUACAGGAGAAAAACAAUUCAUUGUUAGAUUAUUAAUUGAUGAUUGCAAGAAGACAAGAUCAA